CCCAAACUUAUACUGUACCUUUUUAUGGCCCGCACCUAUGUGUUAGUCAGUGUUGUCCUGUCUGAAUAGAUCUUCUUGUCUUGGGUUUCUUACGUGGCCGUUUGCCAAGUGCAUCACAAGAGAAAGCCACUCUGACCUGUAAGGUAAAAGGUCAGCUGCCUAACAACCUGAGCAAAAAACAGAAAAGCUGAACAAAAGCAGUCUUCACUAGCGAACACACUGGACGUUGUUUGUAGGAGAAACUGUGCUUUUUUUGGUGUUUAAUGGUCGCCGUCGGUUUCAGAAUGGUUUGAGUGGUAGUGAUCUUCAUGCUGUGACAAUAAUGUACAAUUUCAAGUGAAUAUCAUAUUGUAUCUCUUGAUUAUAAAGUGACUAAUUUAUUGGAUCGGGUCUGUCGCGCCUUUGCAACCCUAUUUACAUUUAAAGUACUUUUUCUCUCAUCAAGACAAUCUCUGGACAUUUGAGACAACCUAAUUACACUAAGUAUGGCACUGUACCACAAUAAGAGGUGCGGUCACAUAUUUGUUUUAACUUGAAAUAAGUUUCCUCUGAAGCCAAUUAGGUUUUCAAUCUGUGAUUGUCAACAUUGUUUAGUCAUCACAUGAGCUAAAUGAGUGCUUUUGAACAGGCUAAUUAGCAGACAUUGCUGUUCAUUAAUGUCAAGUUCACCUUGCCUCUCUGUCAGAUGUGUGUAUUACGAUUGCUAUCUCUCCUUCCUCUCAAAUCUGCAUCGUUUCCGGGGUUAGGUUGUAAAGGGCGGCUUUGUUUUCCACUUUCUAGUGCCAUCAUGCUCUGUACAAUUACAUCACACAGUACAUUAUGAUGUAAGCUCAAUGACCGUUUUGGAAAAAGUGAAAUAAUUCAAUGUAACUAAAUGUGAAAGUCCUAUUUUGUAACAAAAAUGAAUAACAAAUGAAGAGGAUGUACAUAGGUAUUUUGUAUCGAAAUAAUGUUUAAAGGGUAUUGUACGUGUAAAUACAGAUGUGGUAAAAUGACAUUGAAAGUGUUGAUAAUUGGGCACAAAUAGUGAAUUGAUGGUGUUUAUUGAUCAAAGUACAUAACCUGUUUCAGUGUUUUUGGACAGCUGUGACAACGACCUUGUCCUAUUUGCCUCUCAGAGAAAAUCACAUGCCAGAUUGUUGUUGUUCUUACUGGAAUGUAUUGUUGAGCAACUGUUGCACAAAUUUCUCUGACUGACGUUUCCCCGUCGUUCUGAUUUUUUCUUUUGUUUUUUCGGGGAGGCUCUGUGUGCCUUAGCUGACUUUUAGAACCUUCUCUGUCCAUUGAAAUAAAAUCCUUAUUUUGCUGUUUGUUUUGAACUUAUGUGAAGAAUACCAUGAGUCUGUCAAGUGAUUCACUGGUACUGCAACACCAAAAUGAUGUCUGCUGUUGUAUAUAUCAUCAGGCCUUCUGUCAUUAUCAGCUUUUACUUCUUCCCUUUCAGGGAUUUGUUUUGUUGUACUUGACUCGCUUGUUUUACUUUUCUCCAACUGCUUUUUGGAAAUAAAAUUCUAUGGAAAAACAACUCACGGCUCUGUGCUGCUGCAGUGAUAUAUACUAUGAAGAAUAUGGAGGCUGAUAACAAAACACUAAGCCACUGACGCAUGUUCACACUGUUACUCUAUUGUUGCUUAUUAAAUAGUGUACUUUUGCAGCUCCAGUCGGUUGUACUGGGAAUGCAAGGACUCCCCAUUCAGCGGUUUAAUUUUAUUUUACUGUUUAUUUAUGCGGUUUUAGUGUUGUAUGUCAGAACACUAGUCUUUACAACUAAGACACACCAAUCAACAUGUGAUUUAAAUUGACAUUAAAACUGCACUUAUUGAAAGAUUAAUAUUGUUAAC
ensembl:lncRNA